rnacentral:lncRNA from 1 species
AAAAUUAAGAUUCUAAUUUUUCAAAUUCUUCUCAAUUAAUAUAUAGGAGAUUCAACCAUAUCAAGAAGAUAAUCACCCUAAAACUCGGGCUUUAUUUGCUUUACAUCAUUUUCUUGACGUUGGAAUCACACGCCUUGUGUCAUUCUUUGUAGAAAUUAUUAUAUACUUCUUAAUUACUCACCUUUUUGUAUGUGUGAUCG